rnacentral:rRNA from 1 species
GAUGAACGCUGGCGGCGUGCCUAACACAUGCAAGUCGAACGGAGUUAUGAUGUAAGCGGGAAGUGCUUGCACUAAACAAUCUUUUCAUAACUUAGUGGCGGACGGGUGAGUAACGCGUGGGUAACCUGCCCUGUACUGGGGGACAACGGUUGGAAACGACUGCUAAUACCGCAUAAGCGCACGGGAUCGCAUGAUCCUGUGUGAAAAACUCCGGUGGUACAGGAUGGACCCGCGGCUGAUUAGCUGGUUGGUGAGGUAACGGCCCACCAAGGCAACGAUCAGUAGCUGGCCUGAGAGGGUGAACGGCCACAUUGGGACUGAGACACGGCCCAAACUCCUACGGGAGGCAGCAGUGGGGAAUAUUGCACAAUGGGGGAAACCCUGAUGCAGCGACGCCGCGUGAGUGAAGAAGUAUUUCGGUAUGUAAAGCUCUAUCAGCAGGGAAGAAAAUGACGGUACCUGACUAAGAAGCCCCGGCUAACUACGUGCCAGCAGCCGCAGUAA